rnacentral:rRNA from 1 species
CCCUUAGACGUUUUGGGCCGCACGCGCGCUACACUGACACAGGCAACGAGCUUUCCUUUACCGAAAGGUAUGGGUAAUCUUUUGAAACUGUGUCGUGCUGGGGAUAGAUCCUUGCAAUUUUUGAUCUUAAACGAGGAAUUCCUAGUAAGCGCGAGUCAUCAACUCGCGUUGAUUACGUCCCUGCCCUUUGUACACACCGCCCGUCGCUACUACCGAUUGAAUGGCUUAGUGAGGCCUCAGGAUCCGCGCUUAAUGUGUGGAGAAUUUGGACAAACUACGUCAUUUAGAGGAAGUAAAAGUCGUAACA